GGGAGAAAAGAAACAACAAGGCAGAUGUACAGACAAACAAUAAGGGAGACAAGAAACAACAAGGCAGGUGUACAGACAAACAAUAAGGGAGAUAAGAAACAACAAGGCAGGUGUACAGACAAACAAUAAGGGAGAUAAGAAACAACAAGGCAGAUGUACAGACAAACAAUAAGGGAGAUAGGAAAUAACAAGGCAGGUGUACAGACAAACAAUAAGGGAGAUAAGAAACAACAAGGCAGGUGUACAGACAAACAAUAAGGGAGAUAAGAAACAACAAGGCAGAUGUACAGACAAACAAUAAGGGAGAUAAGAAACAACAAGGCAGGUGUUCAGACAAUGAAAAAAGUGGAUAAGAAACAACAAGGCGAAUUGUCAGACAAAUGAUUAAGAAAAUAAGAAACAACAAGGCGGGUUUUCAGACAAACAAUAAAGGAGAUCAGAAACAACAAGGCGGGUUUU